AAUAGAUACCCGGGUAGUCCACGCCGUAAACGAUGUCGACUUGGAGGUUGUGCCCUUGAGGCGUGGCUUCCGGAGCUAACGCGUUAAGUCGACCGCCUGGGGAGUACGGCCGCAAGGUUAAAACUCAAAUGAAUUGACGGGGGCCCGCACAAGCGGUGGAGCAUGUGGUUUAAUUCGAUGCAACGCGAAGAACCUUACCUACUCUUGACAUCCAGAGAACUUAGCAGAGAUGCUUGGUGCCUUCGGGAACUCUGAGACAGGUGCUGCAUGGCUGUCGUCAGCUCGUGUUGUGAAAUGUUGGGUUAAGUCCCGCAACGAGCGCAACCCUUAUCCUUUGUUGCCAGCGGUUAGGCCGGGAACUCAAAGGAGACUGCCAGUGAUAAACUGGAGGAAGGUGGGGAUGACGUCAAGUCAUCAUGGCCCUUACGAGUAGGGCUACACACGUGCUACAAUGGCAUAUACAAAGAGAAGCGACCUCGCGAGGGCAAGCGGACCUCAUAAAGUAUGUCGUAGUCCGGA
rnacentral:rRNA from 1 species